UGUCGACGUCCUUAUCCGCGACGCUGGGCUUUAUGAGAUGUGCCCAUCAUCUUUGAAGCUGCUGUACUCUACCGCUUUUACUUUGCAGAAACGUUACCAUUUACAAUUACUUGUACGAAUAUGGUGCUGAUAUUGACGAGUCCUGAUGAUCUGGACAUUACAGUUUACAAACUUGUGUUCUACGACUGUCGGCUGCUCGCGUCUUUUAUCUAAUCUGACAGCGGGCCGCUUUGCUGACCGAGGUGGGUUCGACUUUCAAGCACUGACUUACUUCCACCUACAAGGAUGCAUCAGCAAAACACAGGAGAGAUAAGGUAUUAGCAAAAAAACAACCUACAACUUUCACUGAUUCAUUAGAUUAAAUCAUUUAGUUGAUGACAUGCAAAUCAAAGUAAACCGCAGUUCUGCACAAGCAGGACCAACAACAAAUGUUUUCAUUCUACUGUAAAUUAUAAUUAAAAUAAACCAAAUGGACAGAC